AACCCCUGGCUAUGGGCAAAGAGACACCUGAUUGGUGGUGGUGCUCUUAUAUCAGUCAGGGGCAGAGCAGACUGGCAGUCCUUUGUUCAUCCUAGCUUGAUGCCUACGAAUCACGGCCAGAACUGUUUCAUGCCUAGGUCACAUAA
rnacentral:snoRNA from 1 species